CCCAGUGUGGGAAAUAAAUGUGGCCUAAGGGUAUGGGUCUACAGAAAGGCGAAUCAACCCAGUGGUGAUGUGGUCCAGCAAAGGAGAGGGUGCUCAGUGAAAAAUCCAGGGCACGAGGCAAUGACCAGCAGCACAGCAUAUUAGGGCUGCAACUGUCAAGAACAUAGGGAGAUGACUCAAAAUCAAAGCAAUAAAAUAAACAAACAAAUAGAGAAAUAAGUGAAUAAGUGCCUAUAGAAGAGGCAGGAGUUUCAACUUCAGAAGAGCCUUGGGUAAGAAAAAGCAUAAACGGUGCCCUAUAUCUCUCCAAUCUGGAGAUGUCUUGGAAAUACUUUGAAAUCUGUUCCCCCAGGUUUGUUUUUCUUCUCCAUCACACCUCACAAGGAACACAGAGAGUGAUGUCCUGUCACUUUGAUGCGUCUCUCUACUCAAAUGGCAGAAACCAACCAGGCUGGACCACUCUCCCUUUCCAUUUUCCCUUUGCCUAUAAAGGACAUGAAAUACUUCAAAACUGAAAUUACCAAAACUGACACAUCAAGCGGCUGUGGCAUGUUGAUUUUAAGAAAGUCUGUGAGACACAGUUGGCUACAGCUCCUAAGACCCAUCUAUGGACAAUGGGCUUCCUGCUGAAACAUCCUCACCGUGGGCUUCACAGAGUCAGACUGUGCAGAUAUUCUCCUUCUUUCUUCCACAAAGAAGAAAGUGAACAAAGUGUGCCUAGGUCCUAACACUCUAUCCAUAAAGGGCUCAUGUGAGUAGAAGGUCAGCCUCUGAGGAAAUAGAUAAGGAACGUAAUUCUGAUGGUCUGUUCCAUUUGCCUUGCCCCGACCCAAGUGAUGACCACAGUGACGGCGUACAGGAAGCUAAGAAGAAACCAAAAUAACAGAAACAUGUGGAGCAAUGGCCAGCCACCAAACUGGGAUUUCCCUGGUCCAGUGAGAUGUUCUGUGAAAUCUUCCUUGAACCAAUAAAUUUAGGAAACACUAUGUGCA
rnacentral:lncRNA from 1 species